AAAAAAAAAAUUAAAAAUCGAAAAUGUUGUUCCUCCCCAAGGUAACACUAAAUAUGGAGCUAUAAAAUUAUAAUUGUUUACAUGGUCAUGUUAGCUACAAGUCUCUGGCCAUCCAAAAGGAGAACAAAGCAAGGCCUAUCACCAACAAUUGAAGGUGAUAGAGGUGGUGGAGGUUGAAGCAAUAUAUAUAUAUAUCUAUAUGGACAACCACCAACACCAACAUGAAAAUGAAAGGACUAGCCCUCGUCACAAACCAUUUGUGGCACGUUGUUGUUCAUGCCCUCGUGUUCUAGCCUCCUCAAUAUUCAGACGGAUAGGAAGAUGCAUGUUUGUCUCAUGUUACCCCGUUAUCCAAUGCUUUGGAUGCGAUAACCAUAGACACCGUCACCACAACCAUCACCACAAGCACUUCUUUUGAUUCAUUCUUCAUUAUUGCUUGUGGCUCUGUUGUGAAUUACAAGCUUUGAACUUUAAAGCUUUGGUGACUUCAAAAUUCUCUCUUUUGGUCCCAACCCAUUAAAAGAAAAUGGUUUGGGAAGUAUUCUAUACGGAGCUUCACUUUGUCUAAUCUAUUUACAUGGAAAUAUUUUCAUCCAUGAUCCUCUUCCAAAGGAAGAAUAUGGAGGAAAAUAAAUAAAAGAUUUUUAUUUUUGAGUUAUGUACCAAAAGGUUGAAAGUUUUAGAAUCUCACAAACUAUUUUUGGGGCCGCAAGGUUCCAAGGUAAUACUUCCAGAAAUGUCUUUUUUUUUCUAAUGGAGUGGCCUGCUGGGGUCAUUUAUAGGAAGUAUAUCGUAGGAACUUGAUCUGAGUUAGUUUCAGAGUAAUGUUCCCAUUAUUCCUUAGCUUUUGCUAUGUCGAUUAAGAAGUUAAAUGUAAUUAUUAUGUUGAUUGUUGAAUAUACUCUGUUCAUUCCUUUCUAUUCUGAAUUA